UCCAGUACACAAGAAACAUAUAAUUUUCAAAACUUCACAAUGGAAAAAUCGAUUGAAAAUGAACGUAAAGAAAGAAGCGCAUUUGAUGCAAUUAAACCCAAAUUUUGUCCUGCAACAGCGGUGCUACUAAAAGAACUUCUCCGAGAAUCUGGAACCAGUGCAACAGCAGAACAUCAAUUGUAUCGAAAUCUGGAACAGAAAAAUCUCCAAAAUCUGAGGAAACACAAUCAAAACUCCGUAGGAAUCGUUCGCAGUCUGCAUUCGAAGCUCAAAAUGUAAACUGCAAAAUCACGAGAAUUGCGAGAAAACGAUCAUUGGAGCAGAUCCAUGCGAAGUUGAAGGAGGAGCCCAAGUUGGAGUAUUGCCCGCGAUUUCCAAAAUAUAACAAGGACUCCACGAGUAGAUGUCAGGAUCUGAUGUCAGGGCUCGCCAUUGCGCAGACCUGUCGCCGGCGCCCUGAUAAGUGGGCAAACGAUCAGAAAUCAGCAUCGACAUCAGAUGAGGAUCUUCUUGAAGAAAAAACUGUGCAAGUAUGCAGAGAAAUCCAGGAGCGUGUCACAUGGCUGCGUGAGAUGCAGAAGUUGAGAGCCGUCACGCAAGACGAGGCGGCCAUCAUCAACGCGCAGCUCGCUACGAGACUGCGCUUCUUGCAGAGCACCUCUUAGUGAACUGCGGUAACACUUUAUUUAACUCCCAGCCUGGGAUCAACAGAGAUAUUUGGCACUGAAACUUGCUUUACCUCGUAGAAAAUUGCGAUAGCACUACACGCAACGCCCAGCAUGGCCUCACUAGUCUCUAAUGACCCCGGAACUUAACGCAUCCCUUAAAGAACUGCGGUAACAUUGCACGUAACGCACGGCAAGGUCUCACUAUAGCCUCUUAUUGCACUGGAACUUGAUGCACCUCCUUAAGAAUCACGGCAAAACUACAUUUAGGAUGCGGCCAUGGACGCAAUAUGUGCUAUUAGUGUUUAUUUGUUGCGUGACGACCAUCGUCACUUGUGGACAUCACCAAAUGACGUCCAAAUGUUAAUGAACAUAAAGGAUCUGGAGACUUCGCCUAAUGGGAAAACCACUCUCGAGUGGUUGAAUUAUUUAAAAUGCUACUAAUAUGAUGAAGGAUGACCAAAAUUUUCAGACUUUCGAAGUUGUUAUAAGAUCGUCGCCACCGCAAUAACCAAAUCUUAUUAUGAAUGGUUUGUUCUAGCUCAGGAAAAAAACAACUAAGCAAUACAAUAUGUUAUUUUCAUACAUACACUGAAGACGCAAUGAUUUAAUAAAUGAUUAUAGUACAGGUCGAAUAAUACUGAUAAUUGGCCUUGACGUGUUAAACCCUAACUGACGAAACGAAAGAAGAAGAAUGUCAUUAAGUCUUCUUAAAUUCUAAGGCUGUUUAGCAUAUCCGUCUUAUUGCGCUCUUUUCCGGUACAUUUUUU